rnacentral:rRNA from 1 species
AUUGAACGCUGGCGGCAGGCUUAACACAUGCAAGUCGAGCGGAGCGAGGGUGCUUGCACCUUAGCUUAGCGGCGGACGGGUGAGUAAUGCUUAGGAAUCUGCCUAUUAGUGGGGGACAACAUUCCGAAAGGAAUGCUAAUACCGCAUACGCCCUACGGGGGAAAGCAGGGGAUCUUCGGACCUUGCGCUAAUAGAUGAGCCUAAGUCGGAUUAGCUAGUUGGUGGGGUAAAGGCCUACCAAGGCGACGAUCUGUAGCGGGUCUGAGAGGAUGAUCCGCCACACUGGGACUGAGACACGGCCCAGACUCCUACGGGAGGCAGCAGUGGGGAAUAUUGGGCAAUGGGCGGAAGCCUGAUCCAGCCAUGCCGCGUGUGUGAAGAAGGCCUUUUGGUUGUAAAGCACUUUAAGCGAGGAGGAGGCUUACCUGGUUAAUACCUGGGAUAAGUGGACGUUACUCGCAGAAUAAGCACCGGCUAACUCUGUGCCAGCCGCCGCAGUAA